rnacentral:rRNA from 1 species
UACAGAGGGGGCAAGCGUUGUUCGGAAUCACUGGGCGUAAAGGGUGCGUAGGCGGCCGUGCAAGUCUGGCGUGAAAGCCCCGGGCUCAGCCCGGGAAGUGCGCUCGAAACUGCGCGGCUCGAGUGCCGGAGGGGAGAGUGGAAUUCCUGGUGUAGCGGUGAAAUGCGUAGAUAUCAGGAGGAAUACCGGUGGCGAAGGCAGCUCGCUAGGACGGUACUGACGCUGAGGCGCGAAAGCGUGGGGAGCAAACAGG